rnacentral:lncRNA from 1 species
UUUGACAUCUCCGGAAAUUUCGACAAAAUUUUGUUUUGUCUCUCCCGGAACAUCUUCCGCGUUCUCUACCAUUACUAUAAUUAUACAACACAUAAAUAUGAAUUAACAACUAACUAAUGCAUAAACAUCAAUGCCAUAAUGAAUUUAAAAAAACAAAACAAAAAAAAACAAAACAAAAAAAAAUUAGAAAAAAUGGCAGUAGCUUGCCAUUUUUUCGUUGUGAAAAUUUUUCACAAGAGUUCCUCGGCACCUUACUACCGAGGUUUUCCUCGGCACUACACUACCGAAGUUUUCCUCGGUAGUUAACUGUCGAGGAUUUCCAUGACAGGGUUCUACGUAACUGACGUAGAAACCCAUAACAUAACCAAAAAAUCAAUCGAAUAAAAUGCACAAUACCUGUUUUUUUACGUCAAAAGUGUGUUGAUACCUCCUAUGCUUGAUGCUUGAAUGAUUUUGGAUCAAGAAUUGAUAAAAAAAAAAAUAUUGGAUUUUGGGAUUGAAUGGAGGUGGAAAUGAAGUUGAUGAUGAAAAUAG